GACGAACUGUCCUAACGUUGUUCGGAAUCACUGGGCUUAAAGGGCGCGUAGGCGGUCCAACAAGUCAGGGGUGAAAUCUUGCAGCUCAACUGUAAAAGUGCCUUUGAUACUGUUGGUCUUGAGGGAAAUAGGGGUGUGCGGAACUUCCAGUGGAGCGGUGAAAUGCGUUGAUAUUGGAAGGAACGCCGGAGGCGAAAGCGGCGCACUGGAUUUCUUCUGACGCUGAGGCGCGAAAGCUAGGGGAGCAAACGGG
rnacentral:rRNA from 1 species